GACGAACGCUGGCGGCGUGCUUAAUACAUGCAAGUCGAGCGAAGAAGCGAAGAUCUUGCUGCGCGGACGUGUGGGGAAGGCGUGAGUAUAACGCGUGUAUAAUGUCUCUUUAUUUGGGGUAAAGCUUGGAGAAGGGUGAUCUAAUAGCAUAUAAUAUGGUCAUCGGCAGGGGGCAGGUGGAAAGGGCUUUUUUGCUGUGGCUUGGGCAUGCGGCCUCGCAGCAUGAGCUAGUUGGGAAGGUAACGGCGUACCAAGACAACGAUGCGUAGCCGACCUGAGAGGGUGAUAGGCCACACUGGAACUGAGAGACGGUCCAGCCUCCUACGGUAGGCAGCGGUAGGGAAUCUUCCGCAAUUGGAGAAAGCUUGACGGAGCAACGCAGCGUGAGUGCUGAAGGUCUUCGGAUCGUCAAACUGUGUUAUUAGGGAAGAAAAAAUGUGUACGUAACUAUGCAUGUCUUGACGGUACCUAAUCAGAAAGCCACGGCUAACUACGUG
rnacentral:rRNA from 1 species